GCACAAGUGGUUUAAUGGUAGAAUAGUACCCUGCCACGGUACAGACUUGGGUUUGAUUCCUGGCUGCUGCA
rnacentral:tRNA from 2 species